UACGUAGGGGGCGAGCGUUGUCCGGAUUUAUUGGGCGUAAAGAGCUCGUAGGCGGCUCAGCAAGUCGGCCGUGAAAACCUGAGGCUCAACCUCAGGACGCCGGUCGAAACUGCUGUGGCUAGGGUUCGGUAGAGGAGAGUGGAAUUCCCGGUGUAGCGGUGAAAUGCGCAGAUAUCGGGAGGAACACCAGUAGCGAAGGCGGCUCUCUGGGCCGACACCGACGCUGAGGAGCGAAAGCUAGGGGAGCAAACAGGAUUAGAUACCCUGGUAGUCCUAGCCGUAAACGUUGGGCACUAGGUGUGGCGGAUUCAUUGACAUCUGCCGUGCCGUAGCUAACGCAUUAAGUGCCCCGCCUGGGGAGUACGGUCGCAAGGCUAAAACUCAAAGGAAUUGACGGGAGCCCGCACAAGCGGCGGAGCAUGCGGCUUAAUUCGAUGGUACCCGAAGAACCUUACCUGGACUUGACAUAAUGGGAAAAACCCUAGAGAUAGGGUGUGCGUAAGCGUCCAUUACAGGUGGUGCAUGGCUGUCGUCAGCUCGUGUCGUGAGAUGUUGGGUUAAGUCCCGCAACGAGCGCAACCCCUGUCCUAUGUUGCCAGCGGAUAAUGCCGGGGACUCAUGGGAGACUGCCGGGGACAACUCGGAGGAAGGCGGGGACGACGUCAAGUCAUCAUGCCCCUUAUGUCCAGGGCUGCACGCAUGCUACAAUGGCAGGUACAAUGGGCUGCGAUCCCGCGAGGGUGAGCGAAUCCCCAAAGCCUGUCUCAGUUCGGAUCGGAGUCUGCAACUCGACUCCGUGAAGUCGGAGUCGCUAGUAAUCGUGGAUCAGCUAUGCCACGGUGAAUACGUUCUCGGGCUU
rnacentral:rRNA from 1 species